GAUGUUAAUGCAAUGGACAAAUUGCCAGAGUAUAUGAAGAUAUGUUUUCUAGCCCUCUUCAACACUACAAAUGACACCGCGUACAAUGUUACGAAAGAGAAGGGUCUGGAUAUAAUUCCACACCUAAAAAAAGCAUGGGCAGAUCUAUGCAAGGCAAGCAUGGUGGAAGCAAGGUGGUACCACCAAGGCUACACACCCAAUCUUGAAGAGUACUUGGAGAACGCACUGGUAUCGAUAGCGGGUCCCCUGGCAUUGACUCUUGCUUAUUGCACCAGUGACGAUGUAACUCGAGAGGCCUUGGACGGUUUCCAAAGCUGUCCUGAGAUUGCAAGAUGGUCAUCAAUGAUCUUUCGACUUUGUGAUGAUUGGGGUACUUCCAAGGACGAGCUUCGAAGAGGCGAUGUGCCCAAAUCUAUAGAGUGUCACAUGCAUGAGAACGGUGUUUCGGAGGACGCGGCUCGUGAGCAUAUCAGGCAAUUGAUUAGAGGGAAUUGGAGAGCAAUAAACGGAGAUCGAAGUUUCACUUCGUGUUUUGAGGAAAACCUAAAAAUGAUAGCCAUCAAUAUUCCUCGAAUGGCCCAUUGCAUGUACCAAUAUGGAGAUGGAUAUGGCAAACCCGAUGGAGUGAUCGAGGAUCGCAUCAGGUCUUUGUUGAUUGAACCUAAACUUAUGUAACAAUGUAAUUAAGGAUAAUAUCGUGAAGCUUUAAGGCUCCUCGUGAUU